UAUUUUAUUUAGUAUUUUUCCAUCAGUGUUCAUAAGGAAUGUUGCUCUGUAGUUUUCUUAUAGUGUGGCUUUCUUAGAGCAAAGAUGGUUCCCUA
rnacentral:pre_miRNA from 1 species